GAGCCAACCACCGCACCAACCUCCCCCAUGUGAGCCUCCCCUCUCUCUCGCUUUAUCUCUGGCGCCAGCCAACCUCUCCCUCGUCCUCACUUCCUCUCCACGCCUCUCUCGCCUCUUUUCUUUCUUCAUCUGCAAGCCAAAACCAAGAGAGGAGAAACCCCACAGCACCCCGCCUCCUCGCCGUCAAUUCAUCGUCUCCGGCCACCCCGAGCGGUGCCACCACCAUCAAUCGACGCGCCUCGUCUCUCUGAUCCUCCUCGUGCAAGGAAUCGAAGAAGGAGGCCCUCAAUCGAGCAGGAAUUCGCCGUUCCCCUUCCUUGGCCGCCGCGCUAUUUCUUCAAUUCCGGCGCCGAUGGCCCUCCUCCGCCUUCCUCGACCUCGCCGUCAUCUUCACGAUGGUCGCCGCCGAUGAAGCUCCGGCGACCCCCUCGACCAAGCGCCGCCUCUUUCUGGUCCUCGGCAACGAGACGAACGCGGCGCGCUCCCUCUCGCUUGCUGGGGCGCCCUGCAGCGCCCGCCCGUGCGACGCCGAGCCGCAGUCACCGCCUCCUCCUCGCCGCGAGCGGCAUCGCCCCCGCAUCGAACACCCUGUGGGCGCGCACGGAUGCUUCGCCAGCGUGGCGCCCUGGCCCCCACCCGUCAUCGACCCUGGUUAGAUCCACCUCGCAUUUGCUUCUUCUCGGAUAGGAUCGCGAAGUGGUGAUGUGAGAUACGACGAGUUCUCCGACAAGUUCUUCUGCAGCUUUUCACAGGCGAGCCCACCCUUUCACCUAUUUUACUUUUACAUGCUCUUUUGAUCUAUUGCUAUCCUUGUGUUACGAUUCUGUUGUGUCACGUGUCCUAUCCACCUGUUACCUAUAUGUUCGAGAUACACCUCCUCGCCCUACCUAUUGUUUGUUGUUUGCCAGCUUUGCGAGUCGUAGGCGAGUUUAGGGUCUUAUUGAUAUCUCGAGAUGUUCGGGAUAUCUUGUUGGGAGGUUAUCACAUGCUAUAUCUUUUGUUGGAGAUAAUCACACUUUACUUUAUUGUUAACAACUAAAAUUGUAAGCAGAGGCAUCUGUGAGCCCCUUUGCGAAAGCGUCGGAACUUUGACUUGCUAAUGUCCCCUAGGACCCGAGUUCUUGUUAUCUGUUCCGAGAUUGAGCGCUCUACCCGUACGUGGGGGAAUGGGACCCCCAUCACCCACUACCUUUCCUUGAGUCUGUUUAUUGGGAGCCACAACCUUGGUUUCAUUUGCUCAUAUGCACGAUGCACGUUUUACUUCCUGUUGCCUUCGGGUGUUUAUUUCUGUACUGUACUCAUAACGCGGGACUCUUUAUCCUUGGCCGGUCGUUAGUGCCCGCCUUGGAAGCCGACGCAAACCUCUGGGUCCGUAUCGGAGUACGGCCGAACUUCGUCACGGGUAGCUUAGUUGGGUGGCUCCCAUUAAACUUUCUCUUGCAUUGGGAACGGUCUUGAUGUGAGACUCCACCUGUAGUAAGUGGGUUCGAGCAUGCGUAUGGUUACAUUUGGGCAACCCCUGCAGGGUGUACAUCUUAUCGAUAAGCCGUGUCCGCGGUUAUGGACGACUUGGAAUUGUAUGGCUUGAUCAUAGAACAAUUUACACUAUUAUCUUGUUGUUAAUAAUCUGAUAAUAACUUGAUUAGUAAUUUAGCAUUACUACAACCGAUACCUAAUAAAACUUGUCCACCGUUGAGUGCCUCUUACAUUGCCUCUUCGCAAUUGUUGAAGGGGAUACGUGUAAUCGGCUGGGUUAUGUUUGUGUAGUAUUUAUCUGUUACCUUGUGCGCUCUCUUAUCUUCUCUGAGUAGACGGAUGUUGUAGCGUGUCUCUAUUGGAUAGUAGCUUUGUCUGCCGCUAAAC